UUGCCCACUUGAGGUUGUCAGUGUCUUAAGUGGCCAUAAUUUGGGGGUAGAUCACAAUCCUCCUAGAAAACCUGGGUCAGGGUGCUCAUCCCUGCUUCUGGAACUUUCAGGAGGAACAUUA
rnacentral:snoRNA from 1 species